rnacentral:rRNA from 1 species
AACGAACGCUGGCGGCAUGCCUAACACAUGCAAGUCGAACGAGAUCUUCGGGUCUAGUGGCGCACGGGUGCGUAACGCGUGGGAAUCUGCCCUUUGGUUCGGAAUAACAGUUGGAAGCGACUGCUAAUACCGGAUGAUGACGAAAGUCCAAAGAUUUAUCGCCAGAGGAUGAGCCCGCGUAGGAUUAGCUAGUUGGUGUGGUAAAGGCACACCAAGGCGACGAUCCUUAGCCGGUCUGAGAGGAUGAUCAGCCACACUGGGACUGAGACACGGCCCAGACUCCUACGGGAGGCAGCAGUGGGGAAUAUUGGACAAUGGGCGAAAGCCUGAUCCAGCAAUGCCGCGUGAGUGAUGAAGGCCUUAGGGUUGUAAAGCUCUUUUACCCGGGAUGAUAAUGACAGUACCGGGAGAAUAAGCUCCGGCUAACUCCGUGCCAGCCGCCGCCGUAA